rnacentral:rRNA from 1 species
GACGAACGCUGGCGGCGUGCUUAACACAUGCAAGUCGAGCGAGAGAAAUUCCUUCGGGAAGGACUCUAGCGGCGGACGGGUGAGUAACACGUGGGUAACUUGCCUCAUAGAGGGGAAUAGCCUUUCGAAAGGAAGAUUAAUACCGCAUAAGAUUGUAGUAUCGCAUGAUGCAGCAAUUAACGGAGUAAUCCGCUAUGAGAUGGACCCGCGUCGCAUUAGCUAGUUGGUGAGGUAACGGCUCACCAAGGCGACGAUGCGUAGCCGACCUGAGAGGGUGAUCGGCCACAUUGGGACUGAGACACGGCCCAGACUCCUACGGGAGGCAGCAGUGGGGAAUAUUGCACAAUGGGGGAAACCCUGAUGCAGCAACGCCGCGUGAGUGAUGACGGUCUUCGGAUUGUAAAACUCUGUCUUCAGGGACGAAUGUGCAGAUUGUGAAUAAUGAUUUGUAAUGACGGUACCUGAGUAGAAAGCCACGGCUAAC